AACGCGAAGAACCUUACCCAGGUUUGACAUACAGAGGACGAUACCAGAGAUGGUAUUUCCCGAAAGGGUCUUUGUACAGGUGCUGCAUGGCUGUCGUCAGCUCGUGUCGUGAGAUGUUGGGUUAAGUCCCGCAACGAGCGCAACCCUCGUCCUAUGUUGCCAGCGGGUAAUGCCGGGGACUCAUAGGAGACUGCCGGGGUCAACUCGGAGGAAGGUGGGGAUGACGUCAAGUCCUCAUGCCCCUUAUGUCUUGGGCUGCAAACAUGCUACAAUGGCCGGUACAAAGGGUUGCGAGACCGCAAGGUGGAGCGAAUCCCAAAAAGCCGGUCUCAGUUCGGAUUGGGGUCUGCAACUCGACCCCAUGAAGUCGGAGUCGCUAGUAAUCGCAGAUCAGCAACGCUGCGGUGAAUACGUUCCCGGGCCUUGUACACACCGACAUA
rnacentral:rRNA from 1 species